rnacentral:piRNA from 1 species
UCCGACCCGAAAAAACCCCAA